AGUGAACGCUGGCGGUAGGCCUAACACAUGCAAGUCGAACGGCAGCACAGUAAGAGCUUGCUCUUACGGGUGGCGAGUGGCGGACGGGUGAGGAAUACAUCGGAAUCUACUUUUUCGUGGGGGAUAACGUAGGGAAACUUACGCUAAUACCGCAUACGACCUACGGGUGAAAGCAGGGGAUCUUCGGACCUUGCGCGAUUGAAUGAGCCGAUGUCGGAUUAGCUAGUUGGCGGGGUAAAGGCCCACCAAGGCGACGAUACGUAGCUGGUCUGAGAGGAUGAUCAGCCACACUGGAACUGAGACACGGUCCAGACGCCUACGGGAGGCAGCAGUGGGGAAUAUUGGACAAUGGGCGCAAGCCUGAUCCAGCCAUACCGCGUGGGUGAAGAAGGCCUUCGGGUUGUAAAGCCCUUUUGUUGGGAAAGAAAAGCAGCAGGUUAAUACCCCGCUGUUCUGACGGUACCCAAAGAAUAAGCACCGGCUAACUUCGUG
rnacentral:rRNA from 1 species